rnacentral:rRNA from 1 species
GACGAACGCUGGCGGCGUGCCUAAUACAUGCAAGUCGAGCGGACAGAAGGGAGCUUGCUCCCGGACGUUAGCGGCGGACGGGUGAGUAACACGUAGGUAACCUGCCCCUUAGACUGGGAUAACUCCGGGAAACCGGAGCUAAUACGGGAUAAUAAAGAGAAUCACCUGAUUCUCUUUUGAAAGACGGCGUCUAGCUGUCACUAAGGGAUGGGCCUGCGGCGCAUUAGCUAGUUGGUAAGGUAACGGCUUACCAAGGCGACGAUGCGUAGCCGACCUGAGAGGGUGAUCGGCCACACUGGGACUGAGACACGGCCCAGACGCCUACGGGAGGCAGCAGUAGGGAAUCUUCCGCAAUGGACGAAAGUCUGACGGAGCAACGCCGCGUGAGUGAGGAAGGCCUUCGGGUCGUAAAGCUCUGGUGUGAGGGAAGAACAAGUACCGGGGUAACUACCGGUACCUUGACGGUACCUCACCAGAAAGCCACGGCUAACUACGUGCCAGCAGCCGCCGUAA